AGGGUUCGAUUCUGGCUCAGGAUGAACGCUGGCGGCGUGCUUAACACAUGCAAGUCGAACGGGAUCGGCUGGAGCUUGCUCCGGCCGUGAGAGUGGCGAACGGGUGAGUAAUGCGUGACCGACCUGCCCCGUACACCGGAAUAGCUCCUGGAAACGGGUGGUAAUGCCGGAUGCUCCAGUCCAUCGCAUGGUGGUCUGGGAAAGAUUUUAUCGGUAUGGGAUGGGGUCGCGUCCUAUCAGGUAGUCGGCGGGGUAACGGCCCACCGAGCCUACGACGGGUAGCCGGCCUGAGAGGGCGACCGGCCACAUUGGGACUGAGAUACGGCCCAGACUCCUACGGGAGGCAGCAGUGGGGAAUAUUGCACAAUGGGCGCAAGCCUGAUGCAGCGACGCCGCGUGCGGGAUGACGGCCUUCGGGUUGUAAACCGCUUUUGACUGGGAGCAAGCCCUUCGGGGUGAGUGUACCUUUCGAAUAAGCACCGGCUAACUACGUGCCAGCAGCCGCGGUAAUACGUAGGGUGCAAGCGUUAUCCGGAAUUAUUGGGCGUAAAGGGCUCGUAGGCGGUUCGUCGCGUCCGGUGUGAAAGUCCAUCGCUUAACGGUGGAUCUGCGCCGGGUACGGGCGGGCUGGAGUGCGGUAGGGGAGACUGGAAUUCCCGGUGUAACGGUGGAAUGUGUAGAUAUCGGGAAGAACACCAAUGGCGAAGGCAGGUCUCUGGGCCGUCACUGACGCUGAGGAGCGAAAGCGUGGGGAGCGAACAGGAUUAGAUACCCUGGUAGUCCACGCCGUAAACGGUGGAUGCUGGAUGUGGGGACCAUUCCACGGUCUCCGUGUCGGAGCUAACGCGUUAAGCAUCCCGCCUGGGGAGUACGGCCGCAAGGCUAAAACUCAAAGAAAUUGACGGGGGCCCGCACAAGCGGCGGAGCAUGCGGAUUAAUUCGAUGCAACGCGAAGAACCUUACCUGGGCUUGACAUGUUCCCGACAGCCCCAGAGAUGGGGCCUCCCUUCGGGGCGGGUUCACAGGUGGUGCAUGGUCGUCGUCAGCUCGUGUCGUGAGAUGUUGGGUUAAGUCCCGCAACGAGCGCAACCCUCGCCCCGUGUUGCCAGCACGUUAUGGUGGGAACUCACGGGGGACCGCCGGGGUUAACUCGGAGGAAGGUGGGGAUGACGUCAGAUCAUCAUGCCCCUUACGUCCAGGGCUUCACGCAUGCUACAAUGGCCGGUACAACGGGAUGCGACAUGGCGACAUGGAGCGGAUCCCUGAAAACCGGUCUCAGUUCGGAUUGGAGUCUGCAACCCGACUCCAUGAAGGCGGAGUCGCUAGUAAUCGCGGAUCAGCAACGCCGCGGUGAAUGCGUUCCCGGGCCUUGUACACACCGCCCGUCAAGUCAUGAAAGUGGGUAGCACCCGAAGCCGGUGGCCCAACCUUUUGGGGGGAGCCGUCUAAGGUGAGACUCGUGAUUGGGACUAAGUCGUAACAAGGUAGCCGUACCGGAAGGUGCGGCUG
rnacentral:rRNA from 1 species